GAAAUGCGAUAAGUAGUGUGAAUCGCAGAAUUCAGUGAAUCAUCGAAUCUUUGAACGCACAUUGCGCCCCUUGGUAUUCCAUGGGGCAUGCCUGUUCGAGCGUCAUUUGUACCCUCAAGCUCUGCUUGGUGUUGGGUGUUUGUCCCGUCUCCGCGCGUGGACUCGCCCCAAAGUGAUUGGCAGCCGGCGUACUGGUCCCGGAGCGCAGCACAUGUCGCGCAAACGAGUGCCUUGGUACGGCGGCGUCCAUAAGCCCCUCUCUCACGCUCUUGACCUCGGAUCAGGUAGGGAUACCCGCUGAACUUAAGC
rnacentral:misc_RNA from 1 species